rnacentral:lncRNA from 1 species
UCUCUGCCUUUGCCAUAAGAUGCCAAGAUGACCCAGCAUAAGGAAGAAGCUGGUGGCAUUCACACAUCCUUGCAAAGAGGAAUUAAAAAGCAACAUGCCUCUCUGGGAGAGGAUAACUGCAUUUUAGAGAAGUUCAUGCAGAGAAAAGGAAGAUCUCAACUGACUUCAUUGUAUGAUUUUGGGAGGAUACACUAA